GACGAACGCUGGCGGCGUGCUUAACACAUGCAAGUCGAACGGAAAGGCCCCUUUGGGGGUACUCGAGUGGCGAACGGGUGAGUAACACGUGAGUAACCUGCCCUUGACUUCGGGAUAACUUCAGGAAACUGGGGCUAAUACCGGAUAGGAAUCCUUGCUGCAUGGUGGGGGUUGGAAAGCUUCGGCGGUUUUGGAUGGACUCGCGGCUUAUCAGCUUGUUGGUGGGGUAGUGGAUUACCAAGGCUUUGACGGGUAGCCGGCCUGAGAGGGCGACCGGCCACAUUGGGACUGAGAUACGGCCCAGACUCCUACGGGAGGCAGCAGUGGGGAAUAUUGCACAAUGGGCGGAAGCCUGAUGCAGCAACGCCGCGUGCGGGAUGACGGCCUUCGGGUUGUAAACCGCUUUCAGCAGGGGCGAAGCUUGUGGUGACGGUACCUGCAGAAGAAGCACCGGCUAACUACGUG
rnacentral:rRNA from 1 species